rnacentral:tRNA from 1 species
GGGGUUGUGGCUUAGCGGUAAAGCACUUGCCUAGCAUGCAUGAAACACUGGGUUCGAUACCCGACACCA